GCGCCCGUAGUCGGUAGAGCGGUGGAACGGUGAUCCACAGUCCCGGGUUCAAGUCCCGGCGGUCACU